UACAGAGGGGGCAAGCGUUGUUCGGAAUUACUGGGCGUAAAGGGCGCGUAGGCGGCCCGCUAAGUCGAACGUGAAAUCCCCGAGCUCAACUCGGGAACUGCGUCCGAUACUGGCGGGCUUGAAUCCGGGAGAGGGAUGCGGAAUUUCAGGUGUAGCGGUGAAAUGCGUAGAUAUCUGGAGGAACACCGGUGGCGAAGGCGGCAUCCUGGACCGGCAUUGACGCUGAGGCGCGAAAGCUAGGGGAGCAAACGGG
rnacentral:rRNA from 1 species